UACGGGGGGGGCAAGCGUUGUUCGGAAUUACUGGGCGUAAAGGGCUCGUAGGCGGCCAACUAAGUCAGACGUGAAAUCCCUCGGCUUAACCGGGGAACUGCGUCUGAUACUGGAUGGCUUGAAUCCGGGAGAGGGAUGCGGAAUUCCAGGUGUAGCGGUGAAAUGCGUAGAUAUCUGGAGGAACACCGGUGGCGAAGGCGGCAUCCUGGACCGGCAUUGACGCUGAGGAGCGAAAGCCGGGGAGCAAACAGG
rnacentral:rRNA from 1 species